rnacentral:misc_RNA from 1 species
GAAAUGCGAUAAGUAAUGUGAAUUGCAGAAUUUCGUGAAUCAUCGAAUCUUUGAACGCAUAUUGCACUCUCUGGUCCUCCAGAGAGUAUGCCUGUUUGAGUAUCAUUUACACCUCUCAUCUCCUCAAAGGGCGCAAGCCUGGAAAGGAUGAUGGACGUGAGCGUUCAGUGCUUCCUUAGAGACGACUUCAGGUUGACCCUAACUAAGCUCAAGCUGGUCGCUUAAAAUGAAGCGUGGUUGUACUUGGCAUUGCUUUGUACUGGCGUAUUAGUUCUCGCUAGAGAUUCCUUACGCACAAACAGUACGGCGUCGCUUGCAACUGCGUCCAAACAACAAGAGUGCGGUGGCAGUCGACACAGCAUUUCAACCUAUUGAUCUCAAAUCAGGCAAGGCUACCCGC